AGCAGCCGCGGUAAUUCCAGCUCCAAUAGCGUAUAUUAAAGUUGUUGCAGUUAAAAAGCUCGUAGUUGAAUUUCGGGAUCAAUAUGUUGGUCGUGCCUUGGUACGUACUGGCAUUAUUGGUUCCUACCUUCUGAAGAACCUCGAUGUCAUUAAUUUGGUGUCUUGGGGAAUCAGGACUGUUACUUUGAAAAAAUUAGAGUGUUUAAAGCAAGCUAACGCUUGAAUACAUUAGCAUGGAAUAAUGAAAUAGGACGUUCGAUCCUAUUUUGUUGGUUUCUAGGAUUGACGUAAUGAUUAAUAGGGAUAGUUGGGGGCAUUAGUAUUCAAUUGUCAGAGGUGAAAUUCUUGGAUUUAUUGAAGACUAACUACUGCGAAAGCAUUUGCCAAGGAUGUUUUCAUUAAUCAAGACGAAAGUUAGGGGAUCGAAGACGAUCAGAUACCGUCGUAGUCUUAACCAUAAACUAUGCCGACUAGGGAUCGGAUGAUGUUAAUUUUUUAANGACUCAUUCGGCGUCCG
rnacentral:rRNA from 1 species